rnacentral:rRNA from 1 species
UACGUAGGGACCAAGCGUUGGUCCGGAAUCAUUGGGCGUAAAGAGCGUGUAGGCGGCUUGUUAAGUCUUGCGUGAAAUCUCGGGGCUCAACCCCGAGCGGUCGUGAGAAACUGGCAGGCUAGAGUGCGGGAGAGGAGAGUGGAAUUCCAGGUGUAGCGGUGAAAUGCGUAGAUAGUCUGGAGGAACACCGGUGGCGAAGGCGGCAUUCUGGACCAUAACUGACACUGAGAGACGAAAGCCAGGGAGCGAA